rnacentral:lncRNA from 1 species
AUCUCAUACGAGAAAUCUCAGGUCCUUUGGGGAAACAUCUGACAUUUUGUACAUUCUUUUAAAACUUUCUAAGGUCACUUUAUUUUGCCUAAGUAGUAUCAACUACUGCGGGACAGGCUAGCAAUAGGAGGAACCGCUCUUAAAGUGAGAAUCAUUUGUUUAUGGAUUUUUUUUGACCCUUCUCUUCUCAGGAAAGUAUUGAAAAUUGAUUAGCAUCACUUCUCAGACUUAAAGUGUUUUGAACAAGACGUCAGUCUUCUGGCAAAGAUAAAUCAAGAGUCUCUUGGAGUUAAAUGGAUCACAAGAUCAUACCUAACAGCAAUGAAACCAUAAGAAAGGAGUAAUUUUAAUUGGGAACAUCAUCAUGCUGAAAAAACUGAGAAUCUUGUUGUGUAGAAGAAGAGAACAGAUACUGAAUAAAUGGAACUCUCCACACGGAUGCAGUAAAAAUCAAAGCUAAAGCAGAGAAGAUGUGAUUCAGAACACAAUAAACAUCUGAAACAGCAAAACCCUUACCGUUGA